rnacentral:rRNA from 1 species
ACUCCUACGGGAGGCAGCAGUGGGGAAUAUUGCACAAUGGGCGCAAGCCUGAUGCAGCCAUGCCGCGUGUAUGAAGAAGGCCUUCGGGUUGUAAAGUACUUUCAGCAGUGAGGAAGGCGGGUACGUUAAUAGCGUGCUUGUUUGACGUUAGCUGCAGAAGAAGCACCGGCUAACUCCGUGCCAGCAGCCGCGGUAAUACGGAGGGUGCGAGCGUUAAUCGGAAUUACUGGGCGUAAAGCGCAUGCAGGUGGUUCGUUAAGUCAGAUGUGAAAGCCCGGGGCUCAACCUCGGAAUUGCAUUUGAAACUGGCGGACUAGAGUACUGUAGAGGGGGGUAGAAUUUCAGGUGUAGCGGUGAAAUGCGUAGAGAUCUGAAGGAAUACCGGUGGCGAAGGCGGCCCCUGGACAGAUACUGACACUCAGAUGCGAAAGCGUGGGGAGCAAACAGGAUUAGAUACCCUGGUAGGAUAGCG